UAAUCUGCGAUAAGCGCCGGUAAGGUGAUAUGAACCGUUAUAACCGGCGAUACCCGAAUGGGGAAACCCAGUGUGAUUCGUCACACUAUCAUUAACUGAAUCCAUAGGUUAAUGAGGCGAACCGGGGGAACUGAAACAUCUAAGUACCCCGAGGAAAAGAAAUCAACCGAGAUUCCCCCAGUAGCGGCGAGCGAACGGGGAGGAGCCCAGAGCCUGAAUCAGCAUGUGUGUUAGUGGAAGCGUCUGGAAAGGCGCGCGAUACAGGGUGACAGCCCCGUACACAAAAGCGCAUAUGCUGUGAGCUCGAUGAGUAGGGCGGGACACGUGGUAUCCUGUCUGAAUAUGGGGGGACCAUCCUCCAAGGCUAAAUACUCCUGACUGACCGAUAGUGAACCAGUACCGUGAGGGAAAGGCGAAAAGAACCCCGGCGAGGGGAGUGAAAAAGAACCUGAAACCGUGUACGUACAAGCAGUGGGAGCACCCUUUGGGG
rnacentral:rRNA from 1 species